rnacentral:rRNA from 1 species
GAUGAACGCUGGCGGCGUGCCUAAUACAUGCAAGUCGAACGCUUCACUUCGGUGAAGAGUGGCGAACGGGUGAGUAAUACAUAAGUAACCUGGCAUCUACAGGGGGAUAACUGAUGGAAACGUCAGCUAAGACCGCAUAGGUGUAGAGAUCGCAUGAACUCUAUAUGAAAAGUGCUACGGGACUGGUAGAUGAUGGACUUAUGGCGCAUUAGCUUGUUGGUAGGGUAACGGCCUACCAAGGCGACGAUGCGUAGCCGACCUGAGAGGGUGACCGGCCACACUGGGACUGAGACACGGCCCAGACUCCUACGGGAGGCAGCAGUAGGGAAUUUUCGGCAAUGGGGGAAACCCUGACCGAGCAACGCCGCGUGAAGGAAGAAGUAAUUCGUUAUGUAAACUUCUGUCAUAGAGGAAGAACGGUGGAUAUAGGGAAUGAUAUCCAAGUGACGGUACUCUAUAAGAAAGCCACGGC